GUGUCAGCAGCCGCGGUAAGACGAAGGUGGCGAGCGUUACUCGGAAUUACUAGGCGUAAAGCGUGGGCAGGCGGCUCGAUAAGUCUUUUGUGAAAGCCCCGGGCUUAACCCGGGGAGGUCAAAGGAUACUGUCGGGCUUGGAUGUGGGAGAGGUCACUGGAAUUCCUGGUGUAGCGGUGAAAUGCGUAGAUAUCAGGAGGAACACCAAUGGCGAAGGCAGGUGACUGGACCACUAUCGACGCUCAUCCACGAAAGCUGGGGGAUCAAACAGGAUUAGAAACCCCAGUAGUCC
rnacentral:rRNA from 1 species